CUUCCGGUAGGGGAACCUGCGGAAGGAUCAUUAGUGAAUAUAGGACGUCCAACUUAACUUGGAGUCCGAACUCUCACUUUCUAACCCUGUGCAUUUGUUUGGGAUAGUAACUCUCGCAAGAGGGCGAACUCCUAUUCACUUAUAAACACAAAGUCUAUGAAUGUAUUAAAUUUUAUAACAAAAUAAAACUUUCAACAACGGAUCUCUUGGCUCUCGCAUCGAUGAAGAACGCAGCGAAAUGCGAUAAGUAAUGUGAAUUGCAGAAUUCAGUGAAUCAUCGAAUCUUUGAACGCACCUUGCGCUCCAUGGUAUUCCGUGGAGCAUGCCUGUUUGAGUGUCAUGAAUACUUCAACCCUCCUCUUUCUUAAUGAUUGAAGAGGUGUUUGGUUUCUGAGCGCUGCUGGCCUUUAGGGUCUAGCUCGUUCGUAAUGCAUUAGCAUCCGCAAUCGAACUUCGGAUUGACUUGGCGUAAUAGACUAUUCGCUGAGGAAUUCUAGUCUUCGGACUAGAGCCGGGUUGGGUUAAAGGAAGCUUCUAAUCAGAAUGUCUACAUUUUAAGAUUAGAUCUCAAAUCAGGUAGGACUACCCGCUGAACUUAAGCAUAUCAAUAAGCGGAGGAA
rnacentral:rRNA from 1 species